rnacentral:rRNA from 1 species
GGCGACCGGCGCACGGGUGAGUAACGCGUAUGCAACUUACCUAUCAGAGGGGGAUAACCCGGCGAAAGUCGGACUAAUACCGCAUGAAGCAGGGGCCCCGCAUGGGGAUAUUUGCUAAAGAUUCAUCGCUGAUAGAUAGGCAUGCGUUCCAUUAGGCAGUUGGCGGGGUAACGGCCCACCAAACCGACGAUGGAUAGGGGUUCUGAGAGGAAGGUCCCCCACAUUGGUACUGAGACACGGACCAAACUCC